CGAACGAGAAAGUCCUUCGGGAUGAGUAGAGUGGCGCACGGGUGAGUAAGGCAUGGGAACGUGCCCUUUGGAUGGGGAUAACCACGGGAAACUGUGGCUAAUACCGAAUAGUCUCGAGAGAGUAAAGAUGGCCUCUGUUUACAAGCUAUCACCAGAGGAUCGGCCCAUGUCCCAUUAGCUAGUUGGUAGGGUAAAGGCCUACCAAGGCAACGAUGGGUAGCUGGUCUGAGAGGACGAUCAGCCACACUGGAACUGAGACACGGUCCAGACUCC
rnacentral:rRNA from 1 species